GAACGCUGGCGGUAGGCCUAACACAUGCAAGUCGAACGGCAGCACAGUAAGAGCUUGCUCUUAUGGGUGGCGAGUGGCGGACGGGUGAGGAAUACAUCGGAAUCUACCUUUUCGUGGGGGAUAACGUAGGGAAACUUACGCUAAUACCGCAUACGACCUUCGGGUGAAAGCAGGGGACCUUCGGGCCUUGCGCGGAUAGAUGAGCCGAUGUCGGAUUAGCUAGUUGGCGGGGUAAAGGCCCACCAAGGCGACGAUCCGUAGCUGGUCUGAGAGGAUGAUCAGCCACACUGGAACUGAGACACGGUCCAGACUCCUACGGGAGGCAGCAGUGGGGAAUAUUGGACAAUGGGCGCAAGCCUGAUCCAGCCAUACCGCGUGGGUGAAGAAGGCCUUCGGGUUGUAAAGCCCUUUUGUUGGGAAAGAAAAGCAGUCGAUUAAUACUCGGUUGUUCUGACGGUACCCAAAGAAUAAGCACCGGCUAACUUCGUGCCAGCAGCCGCGGUAAUACGAAGGGUGCAAGCGUUACUCGGAAUUACUGGGCGUAAAGCGUGCGUAGGUGGUUGUUUAAGUCUGUUGUGAAAGCCCUGGGCUCAACCUGGGAAUUGCAGUGGAUACUGGGCGACUAGAGUGUGGUAGAGGGUAGUGGAAUUCCCGGUGUAGCAGUGAAAUGCGUAGAGAUCGGGAGGAACAUCCA
rnacentral:rRNA from 1 species